AUCUGAUGGCGCGAACAUUUGUUUCACUGUCCUUGAACCAUUCACAUGCCUCAUGUAGAAUUUUAUCAUCAUAUUAUUGGAAAUUGAUAACGUCAUUUCUUUGCUU